CCAGACUCCUACGGGAGGCAGCAGUGAGGAAUAUUGGUCAAUGGACGCAAGUCUGAACCAGCCAUGCCGCGUGCAGGAUGACGGCUCUAUGAGUUGUAAACUGCUUUUGUACGAGGGUAAACCCCGAUACGUGUAUCGGGUUGAAAGUAUCGUACGAAUAAGGAUCGGCUAACUCCGUGCCAGCAGCCGCGGUAAUACGGAGGAUCCGAGCGUUAUCCGGAUUUAUUGGGUUUAAAGGGUGCGUAGGCGGUUUGAUAAGUUAGGGGUGAAAUGUCGGGGCUCAACCCCGGCCUGCCGUUGAAACUGGCGGCCUCGAGUGGGCGAGAAGUAUGCGGAAUGCGUGGUGUAGCGGUGAAAUGCAUAGAUAUCACGCAGAACUCCGAUUGCGAAGGCAGCAUACCGGCGCCCGACUGACGCUGAGGCACGAAAGCGUGGGUAUCGAACAGGAUUAGAUACCCGUGUAG
rnacentral:rRNA from 1 species